AUUGAACGCUGGCGGCAUGCCUAACACAUGCAAGUCGAACGGUAACGCAAGAAGCUUGCUUCUUGGCGACGAGUGGCGGACGGGUGAGUAAUGCUUAGGAAUCUGCCCAGUAGUGGGGGACAACCCGAGGAAACUCGGGCUAAUACCGCAUACGCCCUAUGGGGGAAAGUGGAGGAUCUUCGGACUUCACGCUAUUGGAUGAGCCUAAGUCGGAUUAGCUUGUUGGUGAGGUAAAAGCUCACCAAGGCGACGAUCCGUAGCUGGUCUGAGAGGACGAUCAGCCACACUGGGACUGAGACACGGCCCAGACUCCUACGGGAGGCAGCAGUGGGGAAUAUUGGACAAUGGGGGCAACCCUGAUCCAGCAAUGCCGCGUGUGUGAGAAGGCCUGCGGGUUGUAAAGCACUUUUCAGUAGAGAGAAAAGCUUACGGUUAAUACCCGUGAGUCUUGACGUAACCUACAGAAGAAGCACCGGCUAACUCCGU
rnacentral:rRNA from 1 species